GAAUGAAGAACGUAGCGAAAUGCGAUACGUAGUGUGAAUUGCAGGUUUACGUGAAUCAUCGAAUCUUUGAACGCAAAUUGCACUUUCCAGUAUUCUGGAAAGUAUGCCUGGUUGAGGGUUAUUUAAAUAACAUUCGUGAAUUUUUUUUCGCGGUUUUGAGUUUUCCGGUAUUACAAAUGCUGGUGACUUUAAAAUGAUUUAUUUCUUGGUACAAGUCAAGACGUUCUAUUCAAACGUGGUUCGUUGAAACUUUACCUCAAUACGUAUUAUGCUUUGCGUGCGCGUGAUUUCGUGUCGUGUCUAGCAUAUACUUUUUUUUUUAAUGACCUCAGCUCAAGCAAGGAUACCCGCUGAACUUAAGCAUAUCAAUAAGCGGAGGA
rnacentral:misc_RNA from 1 species